rnacentral:rRNA from 1 species
AACAACUCAUUAUCACAAUCGCACAGAAAGGGGGAUAAGGGAAUCCCAAGUGCUUAUCUCAACAUGGGCUUUUGCUAAGAGUAAAUAUCUUGGCGAAUAAGGGAUGGGUAAGACUGGUGCCAGCAGCCGCGGUAACACCAGCGUCACAAGUAGCAAUCUUGAUUAUUGGGCCUAAAGCGUCCGUAGCCUGUUUAAUAAGUCUUUUGUGAAAUCGUUGCGCUUAACGUAACGGUAUGCAAAAAAUACUGUUGAACUUGAAACUGGAAGGAGUUAGAGGUAUUCCAUGGGGGAGCGGUAAAAUGCUAUAAUCCUUGGAGAACCGCUUGUGGCGAAAGCGUCUAACUAGUACGCCUUUGACGGGGAGGGACGAAAGCCAGGGGAGCGAACCGGAUUAGUUACCCGAGUAGCCCUGGCUAUAAACGCUGCGAGAAAGGGGUUACAUAUUCUUCGUGAAAAAUUAGGGCCCAAAUGAAGAUGUUAACUCCCCCCCCUGGAAAGUACGUUCGCAAGACGGAAACUUAAAGGAAUUUGGGGGAAAGGGCAAAUUCUUUUAAACCUGCCGGAUAGUCCCUUUUGUGAGGUUAUUUCUGACUUGGCUUAUCAGGGGCAACCUGUUCCCGGAGAACC